UACGUAGGGUGCAAGCGUUGUCCGGAAUCACUGGGCGUAAAGCGCGUGUGGGCGGGUCCGCCAGUCUGCUGUGAAAACUCCUGGCUUAACCGGGAGAGGUCGGUGGAAACUGCGAACCUGGAGGACGGUAGAGGCUGGUGGAAUUCCCGGUGUAGUGGUGAAAUGCGUAGAGAUCGGGAGGAACACCUGUGGCGAAGGCGGCCAGCUGGGCCGGACCUGACGCUGAGACGCGAAGGCGUGGGGAGCGAACGGG
rnacentral:rRNA from 1 species